GCAGGUGAAUGCAACGUUGAGCGAUGGGCGUUGCGCUCCAUAAUUGUUUUAUUUUAGAAUUAUGCACAUAGCAGAUUUGAUUCAAUAAUGCCGGUUUAAUCACCGGCAUUU
rnacentral:sRNA from 1 species